CUGGUGGUGCAUGGCCUUACUUAUUGGGCCUUGGUUGAUGGAGUGAUUUGUCUGGUUAAUUCUGAUAACAAAGGACACUCCAGCAUGCUAACUAGUUACAUGACCCCUGAGCAGCUGGCAUCCCCAACUUCUUAGAGGGAUAAGUGGUGUUCAGCCACCAGAGACUGAGCAAUAAAUAACAGGU